CCUACGGGAGGCAGCAGUGAGGAAUAUUGGUCAAUGGUCGGGAGACUGAACCAGCCAAGCCGCGUGAGGGAGGAAGGUACAGAGUAUCGUAAACCUCUUUUGUCAGGGAACAAAGACUGGGACGCGUCCCCGGAUGAGUGUACCUGAAGAAAAAGCAUCGGCUAACUCUGUGCCAGCAGCCGCGGUAAUACGGAGGAUGCGAGCGUUAUCCGGUUUUAUGGGGUUUAAAGGGUGCGCAGGCGGUCUGUUAAGUCAGCGGUCAAAGCCCGGGGCCAAACCCCGGCCCGCCGUUGAAACUGGCAGUCUCGAGUUGGAGAGAAGUAUGCGGAAUGCGCGGUGUAGCGGUGAAAUGCAUAGAUAUCGCGCAGAACUCCGAUUGCGAAGGCAGCAUGCCGGCUCCACACUGACGCUGAGGCACGAAAGCGUGGGUAUCGAACAGGAUUAGAUACCCUUGUAGUC
rnacentral:rRNA from 1 species